rnacentral:misc_RNA from 1 species
UAUCAUUCUCCGAUCCACUAUUACGGGCAAAAUUAUCCUCAUCCAUGUAUACAUUUCUCAUUCUUUUUGCUACCAUUAGAUCCUGUUCAGUUUCAGCAUCCGCAACCUUCAUUCCAACAUUCUGGUAAGGAAAGUUUUCUACGCCCCCAAUAUCUUCAAUUUCGUUGACAAAGGAUGCAGGAAACAUGUACUGGUUCUUGGAGGCAUUGAGGUCAUUGGCUAGA